rnacentral:misc_RNA from 1 species
UCCGGUUCGUCACCGACAGUCUCACAUGAGUCCCCAACUAAAUGCUGGCAACAUGCGACGGGGGUUGCGCUCGUUGCGGGACUUAACCCAACAUCUCACGACACGAGCUGACGACAGCCAUGCAGCACCUGUGUUCCCGUUCCCUUUCGGGCACAGCCCCGUUUCCGGAGCCUCCAGGACAUGUCAAGGGUAGGUAAGGUUUUUCGCGUUGCAUCGAAUUAAUCCACAUAAUCCACCGCUUGUGCGGGUCCCCGUCAAUUCCUUUGAGUUUUAACCUUGCGGCCGUACUCCCCAGGCGGAGAACUUAUCGCGUUAGCUUCGAUACUAAUAGGCCAGGCCUACCAACAUCUAGUUCUCAUCGUUUACAGCGUGGACUAC